rnacentral:rRNA from 1 species
UUAUGGCUCAGGAUGAACGCUAGCGGCAGGCUUAACACAUGCAAGUCGAGGGGCAUCGUGGAGUAGCAAUACUCUGACGGCGACCGGCGAAAGGGUGAGUAACGCGUGAGCAACAUGCCCGGUACCGGAGGAUAGUCGAUGGAAACGUCGCGUAAUACUCCGUAACAUACGGAACCGCAUGAUUCUGUAUUGAGAGAUUUAUCGCUACCGGAUUGGCUCGCGUCCCAUUAGGCAGUUGGCGGGGUAACGGCCCACCAAACCGGCGAUGGGUAGGGGUUCUGAGAGGAAGGUCCCCCACAUUGGAACUGAGACACGGUCCAGACUCCUACGGGAGGCAGCAGUGAGGAAUAUUGGUCAAUGGCCGAGAGGCUGAACCAGCCAAGUAAGCGUGCGGGACGACGGCCCUACGGGUUGUAAACUGCUUUUGCGGGAGGAUAAAUGACGCCACGUGUGGCGUUUUGCAGGUAUCCCGUGAAUAAGGACCGGCUAAUUCCGUGCCAGCCGCAGC